AGACCGUGAUGAGGACAUCUCUGUUGCAAUUCCCGAUAUCGCUCCCAGGCUUCAUACAAUGUCUCUCCUUCUUGUUGAGAGAAACUAGUUAUAUCCAUUCUCAAUUU